rnacentral:lncRNA from 1 species
AUGAGUUCUGAAGCACUUCAAAACACAGAUGCGAUAAAAGUGGUUUUUGACCGUUUGAAGGAAGGUGAUGCUUUGAAGAAUCUUCAAGCGUUUUUGGCGGCUCUUGCUAACAGCUCAAAGACUUUACAAUCACAACCCUUGGCGAGGGACUUCAUAAUGAAUCAGACAUUUGGCAUAAUCAGCAGUCGAUUCUCCAACUUCUCAAGAGCUGAUUGGAAUGACUGGUUUUGUAGUAAACUGGUUCCUCUCCUCCCCAGUCUGACUGGAAAUAUGUUAAAAUCUACAUUAACAAAGGUCGACUGUGGCGUUUACCAAAUAAUUGUUAAAGGACUGAACAUGACAUAUGAGAACAUGAGUGGGAGUAAACAGAAGGAAAUCACACUUGCUUUGGUGAAUUACCUGAAGGACAUGCAGAAAAUCAAUAGUUCAGGUAUACCUUGCAGCUCCACCACUAACACUUACACUGACUGGGUUUUAGCCAACUUUGGCAAAUACUCCACCAGUGUGAGUCAGGAAGAUCUGCAGUUGCUUAAUAAAGGUUUCUUUAAGAUGACAUAAAUGGAGUUUACAUUUAAAAAUGACUGAAAUUCCAACUUUCACUACAUCUGAAACAAUGGCAAGAGCUGGGACUGGAUUUUUUAAAGAAAAAAAAACGCCAAAUGCCACAUGCUGUGAAUACAUUUUGCUGUUUUAAUUGUUGAGUAUAUUUACAUUUCUACACUAAAUAUCAAAACAUUCUAUGCCACAGCCGAAACUGCUCUCCUACUUUUUCACAAAUACUUGUGCAAAAGUAACCACUAUUAUGUCUGUAU